GUCGAGCGGCAGCGUAAAAGAAGUUUUUUUUCUUUGUCGGCGAGCGGCGGACGGGUGAGUAAUGUAUGGGGAUCUACCUUAAGGAGUGGGAUAACUAUUAGAAAUGAUAGCUAAUACCACAUAAUCUCUGAGGAGCAAAGUGGGGGACUCUUUUAAGAGCCUCAUGCCUUUAGAUGAACCCAUAUGAGAUUAGCUAGUAGGUAAGGUAAUGGCUUACCUAGGCUACGAUCUCUAGCUGGUCUGAGAGGAUGACCAGCCACACUGGGACUGAGACACGGCCCAGACUCCUACGGGAGGCAGCAGUGGGGAAUAUUGCACAAUGGGCGAAAGCCUGAUGCAGCUAUGCCGCGUGUAUGAAGAAGGCCUUCGGGUUGUAAAGUACUUUCAGUUGUGAGGAAGGAAUUAAAGUUAAUACCUUUGAUUAUUGACAUUAGCAACAGAAGAAGCACCGGCUAACUCCGUGCCAGCAGCCGCGGUAAUACGGAGGGUGCAAGCGUUAAUCGGAAUUACUGGGCGUAAAGGGCACGCAGGUGGUUAAUUAAGUUGGAUGUGAAAUCCCUUGGCUUAACCUUGGAAUUGCAUUCAAAACUGAUUAGCUAGAGUCUUGUAGAGGGAGGUAGAAUUCCAUGUGUAGCGGUGAAAUGCGUAGAGAUAUGGAGGAAUACCAGUGGCGAAGGCGACCUCCUGGACAAAGACUGACGCUCAUGUGCGAAAGCAUGGGGAGCAAACAGGAUUAGAUACCCUGGUAGUCCAUGCUGUAAACGAUGUCGAUUUGGAGGUUGUGACUUUAUUUGUUGUGGCUUCCGUAGCUAACGCGUUAAAUCGACCGCCUGGGGAGUACGGCCGCAAGGUUAAAACUCAAAUGAAUUGACGGGGGCCCGCACAAGCGGUGGAGCAUGUGGUUUAAUUCGAUGCAACGCGAAGAACCUUACCUACUCUUGACAUCCAAAGAAGUGAACAGAGAUGUUUAUGUGCCUUCGGGAACUUUGAGACAGGUGCUGCAUGGCUGUCGUCAGCUCGUGUUGUGAAAUGUUGGGUUAAGUCCCGCAACGAGCGCAACCCUUAUCCUUUGUUGCCAU
rnacentral:rRNA from 1 species